rnacentral:rRNA from 1 species
CGAUCUGUAGCUGGUCUGAGAGGACGACCAGCCACACUGGGACUGAGACACGGCCCAGACUCCUACGGGAGGCAGCAGUGGGGAAUUUUGGACAAUGGGCGAAAGCCUGAUCCAGCCAUGCCGCGUGCAGGAUGAAGGCCUUCGGGUUGUAAACUGCUUUUGUACGGAACGAAAAGACUCUGGUUAAUACCUGGGGUCCAUGACGGUACCGUAAGAAUAAGCACCGGCUAACUACGUGCCAGCAGCCGCGGUAAUACGUAGGGUGCAAGCGUUAAUCGGAAUUACUGGGCGUAAAGCGUGCGCAGGCGGUUAUAUAAGACAGAUGUGAAAUCCCCGGGCUCAACCUGGGAACUGCAUUUGUGACUGUAUAGCUAGAGUACGGCAGAGGGGGAUGGAAUUCCGCGUGUAGCAGUGAAAUGCGUAGAUAUGCGGAGGAACACCGAUGGCGA